UACGGAGGAUGCGAGCGUUAUCCGGAUUUAUUGGGUUUAAAGGGUGCGUAGGCGGACGCUUAAGUCAGCGGUAAAAUUGCGGGGCUCAACCUCGUCGAGCCGUUGAAACUGGGUGCCUUGAGUGGGCGAGAAGUACGCGGAAUGCGUGGUGUAGCGGUGAAAUGCAUAGAUAUCACGCAGAACUCCGAUUGCGAAGGCAGCAUACCGGCGCCCGACUGACGCCGAGGCACGAAAGCGUGGGUAUCGAACAGG
rnacentral:rRNA from 1 species